ensembl:lncRNA
CUGAUGUAGAAAACUGUUUGUUUUGAGGACUUCAAAACAAACAGUUUUAUACAUCAGUGGAUUUAUACCAUUUCGGUGAAUCACAUCAUCCAUUAAAUCAUUAUACAGCCGUGUGCUUUGUUUAGCGCUUUGUCCUCUAAUUCUUUUUUUUUUUGUUGUUGUUGUGUUGUGUUUUCUUUAUCUAGAUGUCGAAAAACGUUUUCAAGAAACGGACUGGUAAACCUGGGCAAGUGGCCGCAUCGUCAUUUAUGAUGCAGAAAUAAUCCUGCGAGUGGAAAGCCUCUGGGGGCCUUUGUCGGUGCACUGACUCCGCGCUCCUCUUAAGACAAAAGCCAGACGCUUCCUGUGGCAACAAUCGGGCUUCCUGCGUCCCGCCAUGUGUUGCCCUAUCGAAGGGGAUCGGGGCACUGAGGCGGCUGACCACGUGAGCUCAGAUGGCCGUACGGCCAACAGGGGUGUGCGUCUGCCAAGGCUGUGGCCUCGCGGAGGAGGAUCCCACAUGCUGGGCUUCUCACAGGGAUCACCUGUUGCUGCACACAGGAAAAGGCCUUUGAGCGACGGUGUCUUCAGCGCCACCUGGUGGCCGCCAGGAAGACGUUGAAUGAACGAGUAAUACAAUCAUCAGUAUGAAGAGCGGUGCCAAGAAUCAAAGCUACAACUCGCCUUUGUCCUUUCAUACACGCAAAUAUAGUGACUGAUUACAGGUUUACCAGCCUGGGGAAACUUUUCUUAUUAUUAUUAUUAUUAUUAUUUGUAGUGCUGGGAAAAAAAUACUUCUAUGUAUGUUACUCGUGUGACCCUUUUAUCCAGAUACCUUGAACCACAUUUUACUUAUUUAUGCAAGUCCAUAUCCACCAUUGCUGGGAUAUAAACUAACAACCGUUUAUUAAAUCCACUUCCAUAGCUACCUGCUGGCAGGUAACAGGUGAUACAGUCAUAAACCGAAAAGUUUUUUUUUAAGUAUCAUUAGUUUUAAGAAAAAAAAAAAAAAAAAAAUAUAUCUAACUGGACCUCAUGCAUGUGCAGCGCUUCCUCUCGCUUUUAUUGUCCACGAUGACAAACAGGAAGCUGAGGAAGUGGACCCACAUGGUGCGGCUCUUUCCCUUUCGCUCGGGCAGGGCCGCAUGUCCAGCGCCUCCCGCUAGAGGGCGCCAUAAAACAGAAUAAAACAGCCCUGUAGCCCA